ensembl:lncRNA
UGGCCUGACCCAAGGAUUCAGAGGAAAAAAGAAUUUUCAUUUUGUGGCUUACGGUUAAAAAGUUAUUAGCAUAAAAAUAUUGAAACUUUGGACAAGUGGUGGCGCUAGAGAGUAGACGAUAGAGACUUCAAAUUUGGUAUAGUUAAUGCUGGGACUGUCCUCUAUCAGUGUGCCAAAUUAUACAACUUUCCCGCAAUCGGUUCUAUGGGCUGCCAUAGACUUGCGGCGGAAGAAGAAGAAGAAGAAGAAGAAGAAGAAGAAGAAGAAGAAGAAGAAGAAGAAGAAUAAUAACGCCAACGGAUACAAUAGGUGCCUACGCACCUUCGGUGCUUGGCCCCUAAUAAUAACGCCAACGAUUUCAAUAGGUGCCUACGCACCUUCGGUGCUUGGCCCCUAAUAAAUAUAGCUGCAAGCAGCAAUUACGGGGCCAAGCACUACAGGAGCAAGCUUCAGACAAACGGCGGGAAUGAGUAAUUAAAACCGUUUUAAGAUUAUUUUAAGCAAAAUGGCUUGAAAACAAUAAAGACAACAACUUGUAAUAGUAUUUAUUGGCAUAUCAUAUUUGACCAGUAGGUGGCGCUGUUACUAAAUUAGUGUGGAAUGGUCAGUGUGACGUGACUAUUGCACAUACAAAAUAUGGUGUCAGUAUGUCAAAGAUUUGAAGAGAUAUAGCCUUGGAGUCAUUUUGACACAGUGCUUAAAGUUUAUAGCGGCGCUGUACGAAAACGGUUGCUUCUAUCGACACGAAAUCCAUAAUGUUUUGUCAGCACAGUCUGAAGAUGACUUUAUUCGAUUUUGGUGAAAAUCGGACCAAAGGUUGAUGAGGAGAGCAAAAAAGUAGGUUUUCAACAUAAAUCAAAAUAGCCGACAGAAAGUUCGGCUUAUUAUGACAUACUUGAUAUGUAUGUUGUUGGCAUGACCCAAGAAAUAUUUUGAGAUCAGUUUCAUUACAAUAGGUCAAUGCAAUCAAAAGUUAUGAAUUUUUCAAAAAUGCUAAUAAUUAAGAAUUAAUGAAUGUUUAUUACUCCGGACCAAUAGGUGGCGCUGUUACCAAAUUGAUGUGGCGUGAUCAAUUUGUGGUGACAAUGGUUCAUGCAACGUUUGGUGUAAAUAUGUCAAAUCUGUGCAGAGAUACAGCCUCAGAUACAUUUUGGCAUCCUUCCAACAAAUUCGUUGGUGCGCUAAACGAAAACCAUUUCGUAUAUCGACACGAAAUCCAUAACUUUUUGCCAGCAUCGUCUGAAGAUGAUCUGAGUCACAUUUGGUGAAAAUUGGACUAACGGUCUAGGAGGAGUUUGAAAAAUUAGGUUUUCAACAUGAAUCAAAAUGGCGGACAGGAAGUUUGGCCAAUUUUGUCAUAAUUGGUAUCGAUGUUCUCGGCAUGAUCCAAAGAAUUUAGGGAGACCACUUUCAUUCCAAUAGUCCAAUGUAUUCAAACUUUAUUAGCAUUUAUUGUAAAUUUCUUUAUAACUUUUGACCACAAGGUGGCGCUGUGCCCAAAGUUUUUGAGUACC